UCCAUUUGUCUGACAUAGCUGGUAUGUGUGACGGUGGCGAUGACGCAGCCCCAGGCAGGUGGUGGUGCCUCUGCUCCCGGUCCCAUGGUGCAGUUGUGGCGGCACAGGGUUGGGGUCCCUCGAUGAGUCUCAGAAAUACUCCCACAGCCACCAAGAAAUCCCUCAAGACCAGUGAUGUUGUCAGCUGAGAAAUGUAGAAAAAUGCUAUGCCUACAGUUGGCUUUGCUUGAAAUUUUCAAAUCAAACCAAUCAUGGGUUUGGGGGAGAAUUGUUGGAUUUUGCUUAGAUUUUUGUCCCUGAGAUUUUGUUUUUUUUUAAUAGAAAUGCCUGCAAAAAAAAAAGAUGCAUAACAUAUUAGUAACAGUUUCAAGGAAACUAGGAGAGGAGCAAGACAGAGAAUAUUUUGUGAGAGUAGAAAUGUUUGAUACUGGCACUAGCUUGGGGUAAGGUGGGGAGAGAUGUUUUUGAGAACUGUCAUUUGGAAUAAAACCUUUCAUCCAACAGUUCAGAAAAGCCUUCAGAUCACCAUAACGGCUGUGACCAUGGCUAGGCAGCCUGACUGUCUACCCAGAUUUCAGACCCAGCCACCUCCUUUUCUGCAGCGUGUUGGGGACACACCCAUGCAGCAGACUUGAGUGCAAGACCUUCAGCUACAGCCUCGUACCAGACGCUGUUUGCUUGCUCCUGCUUUCUCUAUUGCCUAUAGACUCAUAAAUUACUCCUGGUACACAAAAUGCGUGGGAGGCUGCCUGUUUGCUCAGCAUGGGACCGAGACCUGCACAUUCAAAUAUCGGCAGACAGCUGGAACACAAUCUGUGAAAAGGCACUCAGAGCCUCCAGGUCUAUUAAAUACAAACUUAGAACAUCUACCGGGAAUUUUAUAUCUUGCAUUACAUGGGUAAUGCCAAAAAGAAUAGGUGCAAUACCCCUGGGACUUUGUCAAUAAAUGUCACAGCAGAACAUCCAAAAAAUCUUUCUUCUGCAGGUGAAAGCCUGUGGUUGCAUCAAGGAAACCCUCACCAGCUGCCCAGGAUGGAUGUGACCCAUUUCUCUGACAGCAGCCAUGCCUGAGGUCCCCAGCUGUCCCCUGUCCUGAGGAGGACAUGGGAUACCUAUCCCCACACUUGUGUCAGAUCUCCUUACCAAUGUCUCUGAAGGGUUCAUGUUUCUCUUUGUGUGCAUGUGUACCUGCUGCUCUUAACAAUGUUAAAAAAAAUAACAAGAAGAGGGAAAUUGCAAAAUUCCUGGGCCAGAGCACAGUGGUGUGCAGGCAGAAGUCGGUGUGUACCAUGUGCCGCUGUCACAGAUACUGCAUGAGAGAAUGGGAACAUACAAUCAACAGCUAUUAUGAGGUAGUGAAAAAAGCCUCUUAAAACAAGUGUGGAAGCACACUGGGAAAAAAAAUCUCUCUAUUAAUUUAUAUUGAUAUCCCUAAUAAAAUUACUUCCCACAAAUGUUUUGUGACUGACCAUGCCUUGCCUGGUAUCUGCACUAAUCAAAUCGUAGUAAGGGAAUUAAGCUAUGUGUGUGGUUUGUGGUUUUUUUUUUUUUUUUUUUUUUUUUUUUUAAUUUUGUUAGUUGGGGUUUGGUGUGGGGUUGGUUGGUUGGUUUGUUUGUUGUCAAGAGAAAACAGUUGCUUGUUCUUUUAUUCCACCAGCCUGGCUCUGCAGCCCGAAUGCUGCUCUCCUCCAUCAUGCUCUGGCUUGGCUGGGAUGUUCUCUCAUGAGCUGUCUGCUCACUACAGCUGGGACAGUGAGGCUGGACCAUCAUCGAAACCAUCCUGAGCCGUACCAUUGCCCACAUCCAGGUCCCUGCACAGAACUGCUGAGUUUGGACACUUCCAGACUAGAGCAAAAUUCCUCAGUCCAUCUCCAUGAAAACAUGAUUAUUGUCAUUAAAUACAUACUGUGAUAGACAAUGUCUCUGCAACACUCCCCGAUGAGCUCAUGCACCGAACCUAACGACUCCUGCUGUAGCUAAAUACCGUACUUGGCUGUUAAGACGCCACUGCAUGCUCGGCUCCUACCACUGAUGAGCAGUCUACAGAGCAGCCCGAUGAUUUUCUGAAGGUCUGAGGUCAUGAUAACACCAUGAGAGUCACAAAAAAAAGAUGUCUCCUUUUUCUCCCUUCCAUUCCCCACAAGGCUCAUUUUACAAACUGCAGCUGCUGAAAAUGGAAAGCCCAAUAGAGCAACAUCAGUAUGAUGGCAUCACGUAGCUCAGAUGCUGCGACAGAAAUCGGCAGGUGGAGGACAGACGUGGUGGGCUCCCAAAGCACCGUGUUUGGAAAGACUUUACUCUCCUGCUUGUGAGAUGAGUCUGAGGAGUUGAUGGCAUCACUGCUACAUCUGGUGGGAAUGUCCUUUGGUCCUGCCGACAUCGUCAGGAACACGCAUGGCCAUGUGCUGCUGGCACAGGUGACGGCUGCCACCCGAGCCGUGUCCACCCCCAGGCUUGGCUCAGGACCGGUGAGUACCCGUCAGCCCUGGCCAUUGGGUUGGUGUGCAUAUUCCCUCCUGCCCCAUCCAGCCGCUGCCACCUCCUUUGUUGUUUAGCCCCUUAGGAAUCUUAACAGAACCCAAAAUAUUUAAUGGGUUUGCUAGUGAUAAUGUCAUUUUAAGUGACAUAGAUGUGAUAAAUUGCUCCCACACAUCACUGAAUUUUGUUUCUAAAUUUUUAUGUAUUUUUGAUAGGCCAAUUUAUCCCUGCUGCAGCUCCAGCCUGCGCAGUCAAUGGCAUUCCACUGGGGGUGAAUUUGUCUGCUAUUUACAGUGUGUGCUUUUAAGCAGUGAUUGGUGUGACAGUGUGAUCUGUACAGCUGUCUCCCUGUAUUUAUUCUUUUGCCUAUAAGGUUGAUAUAUACUAGCUCAAAAUAAAAAUAAAAACCAAGAAACUAAAAAAAUAAAAAAACCCUGCUCAUAGAUUUUCGUGUGAAUGACUUUAAAUAACUGAUUAAUGAAUAUUAUUAGCAUGGUUAUAAUGGAAAGGGGUUUGCGAAGUUUAUGGGCUUGGCUGAGCAAUUGCACGUAAAGCUGUUGUGUGCCCCUCUCUGACUCUAAACCUUUUCUGAGGUUUUCUUUAUAAUUGGACAGUGCCCUCUGGGCUCAAUCUUACUUGAUGUGCCUGACAUGAGGUUAGCGGUGGAGCCUCCUGCGUGGGGGAUGUCUGAUGAUCCUGU